CGGAGCUCCUAUCACGGCUUCGUUUCAGGUUGAUUAUCCAUUUUACUUACAGAGUACAAGCAACUUAGUUACUCUGUACUCUGUAGUACCACGUCGUUGCUAAUAGUUACAGAGUACGGGCUAGUUACUUUGUUAUCGGUAUCGUUACUCAGUAUGUUAAGUCCUCUGUCCUAUGUGAGACGGUAGACAAGGCACGGUUUCAGGAUUACAGAACUACCAGGCCGUGCGCUCGAUGGAAAAGGUUUCCAGCGUCUCGUGGAUGACUUGCAUGUGUUUCGACCCUUCAAGGUUACUGGACAGACAGUGUCUGGAACUGGAGUGAGGGUUCAACGUUGCCAAAGAUAGAUUGCUUUGUGUGCGCUUUGACUGUGAUCUUGAUGCAGUUAUUGUUACAAACAUACUUAUAGAGACCAGCAUACGUACACCCUAUAGACCUCGAGUCAUGGGUUCCUGGCGCCGUACGGAGGGAUGUCAGACGGGAAGAUGAAGCUCUGACCAGCGAACCAUAUCCACGGAUGAUGUCAGCCCGUACGUCUAUUUUGGCCGAUACAAACUAGGAGGCGCAUGAUGACGCGUCCCUUGAACUCAAUCUUGAGGGCAUUAGUUCUGGCGCCGAGGCGGUGUUUAGAUUAAACACUUCCUUCCUUGACAUAUUCAAGCUCAAUUCUUCCGUACGGAGCGGCCUAGGACUGGCCCCCUUCAAGGCUACCGCUCAGACCGACGGGAGAUGUCGAUCGUGUUGUACGGGCCCGUCAGGUACCAGGCUGGGCUGGUACCGAAGCUGUUUAUUAUCGAGAACUGCAUGCUUGUAUAUGAUUCGCCCCUCUGAGGAAAUAUUUAAUUCAGAAGUCGUAUCCCAUGCACCGCCUCCAGCGUCAAGAUAUCAAAAAACGCCCUGCCCUGCCACCGCACUCCCACCAGUUGAUACGCGUACGAGCCUGCUGCGCGGCGGAGAAUACUGAGAGGAGACGCAGCGGCUAGAUGAAUAUCUGUUUAGUCUACGUAUUUCGGUGACAUGUCGUCAUGGACCAGGCUGAUGCUGCUCGCAACUUCGUGAAGCAGAAACUUUCAACGUCUGCGCGAUACUAGGACAAACCGGAUUGCAAAGUAGUGCCCUUCAGAAUUCGCCCCGAGCCCGAAUUGAUCAGGUGCAACGGGAAUCAGCUCGGAUGAACUGUCUACACCUAUACAGCAUUGUCUCUCUGGACCCUUUCGUCUCUGUAAGACGCAAGGUUGGCCUCGCUCGUCCGUCUGAUAAAGUUUUCAGAAGCGAGGUUUAGAGGCUUAGAGGCUUAGAGGCUAAGUUGGAACAAUGCUUCCAAUGCAUUUGGACCUACGAUCCAGAUGAAGUUGGCGAGUCUGCGAGGAUGGCCAAUUCAAGCAUUCGAUAAGUCUGUGAUUUUUCUCAAACUUGCAUAGGUUGAUGGGAGAUUACAAGAUACUUGAUACAGCAUGGUAUCAAGUCAGGUAGGUGCUCCCGUUGGCUCCCACGGUGCUCACGCCAGCAGGAUGCAUCCAGUCGGUCAUCUCCUGGGUUAUCUAGUAUGAUUGGCACCUUGGUAUC
rnacentral:lncRNA from 1 species